GUACUCUUUGGUUUCCGCUAAGAGCUUUCUUCUUUCAUUUGCUGGCGGUGGUGAUACAUGUUCGUUUGUCGCUGGUGAUAUCCGUUGAAAUCUCCUGGUUUUUCAGAACUACUGGAGAAUUAGGUAGUUUAUUUCAACAGGAAGCAUGAGAGCAAAGUGGAGGAAGAAGCGUAUGCGGAGGCUGAAGCGGAAGAGGAGGAAGAUGAGGGCGAGGUCGAAGUAGGUUGCUGGCCCUCACGCUCUGCUGGAACUCCAUAACAUCUGAUCCACACUCCUCAUUGUGUUGUGUGGCUGCAGCAGAGACUUUUGUAUAAAUUUGUUGGGACAAUAAAUGUUUCAACAAAAGCUUUGUUAAUUCUGCUCUUUUAACCUGAUCCUGUGAAAAGUCUUAAGAACCCUAUUAAAACAAUGAAAAGUAGCUUCACGUUACAGAUAAUUCAACUCUUCUCAUUUCACAUAGAAAGUUGACAAAGAAUGUUGUAAUUGAGCUCCUUCAGAGGAAUUUUCACUUUUGCAACAGUAGCCUGCUGUCCAGCUGAGGCAGUUGUAACAUACUAUGGAUAGUGCAGUAAUGGAGACUGAAGUGAUACCCUAAAAGAUAAACACAGGUCACCUAAAUCUGAAUAUUGACUUUGUUUGCAGCAGUGGGAUCACUAGUACUGAAGCUGUUAGGAAACAAAAUUGGCUUUGUUUUUAGACAACUUUAACUUGGAAGUUACUCUUGCCCCUGAGAAGAGUGCCCCUAUAAACCUGCUCAGUUACCAAAUUUUUUUAUUGACUUUUAAGUUGACAGCAAAUCUUCAUUGGUUCCAUAAUUUGGAGAUUGCUAUUCAGAAAUUUGCAAAAAAAUUGGUGUUGAUGCUCAGUAUUCUUCUUAGAAACCUGGAAUAUGAUUUUACAGAGAAUGUAAAUGAGGUGAAAAUUUUAAAAUUUACCUAUGGUCCAUGAGGGGACUUAGAUUAUGGUGUUAUCUGAUUUGGUAUUAUGUAUAUAUUUGAGUGAUGCAGCAACAUGAGGUUAUUUUUGCAAUUGGAAUAAAAUUACUAAUUAUAAAUAAAACAGCUUCUGGCUGCAGGGUGGUUUUGCAACUUCCAUAGAUGAGUAUGGGAAUUCUGUUCCUAUCAUCAAAUGCACCUUCAGCACACAUCUAAUGGAUAAAUAUUUUAGCAUUUGCAGCUGGCUAUUGGCAAAAUGAAGAGUGCCAUGUCCAAACCAACACACCAUGGGUUGUAGGAAUAAAAUGGAGAAUGUACUUUAUAGUUCAGUAUUGGAAUGUUUUCAUAUGAAUAAAACUAGAGCUUCUCACAAGUGAAGUCACUGUUUUUUGAAGUGGCCUCUGUAGUGUCCUUAGAGCUGAAUACUGUUGAAGUGAAGUUUUUGCGAGUUUGUAUAAGAAGACUUAGUAUGUAUACACCAGACAAUUGCCACAGACAUUUUCAGAUGUUCGUAAGUUGGUGGGUCAGAAAAAUAACUGGUGUUUUACAAAACCGAGUGAUCUGGCUAUUGUAAUAAACCCCACUUGAUGCACAAGUAGACUUGUGGCAUAUUUAACAAAAAUUCUUGUUGGAAAACAGUUGUAGAUGAAAAUUUCUUGUAAUCUUAAGGUUUUGUGUUCAUCUAACUGGAAUAGCAAGGUUUCUUGCAUGUUGAAAACUUGGUAACCUUUUUAGAAAAUGUAUUUCUGUAAAUUGUUCACCAUUUUAGUAAUUUUUUGCUGUAUAAAUUAAAAUUGAAAUUUAGUAUUAAUCUUCCUGAUGCUAGUUCCAUAUUUAUGCACUGAAUAGAUAUCCUGUUUGAUUUGAAUAAAAUGUAGGGUUGAGUGUGUUGUGUACUGGAAGCUGCACACAACUUUUUUAGAAUAGGUGAGGUAGUGAGAAUGAGCUCCCUUGUCAGAAUAUGCUGUUAAUUUUUUAUUCACAUGUAGAGAACUUUUGGAAUGUAGUUUUAUUAAUGACCCCAUAACAGGGUCUUUCAGCAAGUUCAGUGUGUAGUUUUUGAUAAAGGUCAAAACUUUAUUUACAAUAAUAGUUAAGUCUCCAAGUGAUGCGUCUUAACAAC